GCGGGGAUAAAGCAAGAGUGGCUUGCUAGGUUCAUACCCUGGAAAUCAGUGAGUGCAACUCUCACCCCCGUCACCA
rnacentral:tRNA from 1 species